AUGCUUAUCUGUCAAGGGAUAUAAUGUGAUCAUGAAGGUGGUUUUUCCAGGGCAAGGUUUAUUCAUUGCACUCCAGAUGUGCUGACCCAUGCAAUUUCCCCAAAUGUGGGAAGCACGACUGCAUAAUUUGUGGUGUAGUAGGUGAGUGCAUUUGUGCUCUCACCUA